AAAGUUCUGAGAUUACAGGCAUGAGCUACUACAAAUGGCCAGGGAUGAUCUUUUUAAAAGGAAGUAUAGUUUAAUAAUAAUAUACAGGAAACAGGCUUAAGAUUUGAGUUGAGUAUAAACUUAAUAUAAAUCUAUAAUGCAAUGUGGCUGCGUGAACCAUUCUUAAAAUAUUAGAUUGUUUCAGUAUGCUUUAUUGUUUUGAAAAAAGAUAAGCAUCCUAUUAAGAUUUCAGCUUUUAUAUUGAGCUUUUGGAUUUGUAUUUGUAUUUUUAAGCUUUUGUAUUUGUUUCACUUAUAAAAAUCAUAAAGCUAUAACAAAACAAGUCAACUUGUGAUGUUUGUCUUCCAACAAUAGCUGAUGGCAUAUUUUUUUCAGGUUCAUACUGGAUUACACUUUGAUUAAAAGUUAUUUCUUAAUUCUCCAGGAUAAUAGAAACAUUAAUUAGUCAGAGAAACUCCGAAUAUAAGGAACUUUAGAGAAAAGGUGUGUUUGAGUGUGUGUGUGUGUUGUGGUGGGAGAGGGG